rnacentral:lncRNA from 1 species
CACUACUUUUUGACCAGAAUCCAAAACCCCCUGUUCCCUGUAUAGUGCACUAACUUUUUUUGAACACCAGAAUCCAAAAACCCUAUUGUUCCCUGUAUAGUGCACUACUUUGGACCAGAAUCCAAAACCCUAUUCCCUGUAAUAGUGCACUAUUUUGACCCAGAAUCCAAAACCCUGUUCCCUGUAUAGUGCACUACUUUUGACCAGAAAUCAAAACCCUGUUCCUGUAUAGUGCACUACUUUUGAGACCAGAAUCCAAAACCCUAAUUUCCGGUAAUAGUGCACUACUUUUGACCAGAAAUCCAAAACCCUAUUCCCUGUAUAGUGCACUACUUUUGACCAGAAUCCAAACCCUAUGCCCUAUAUAGUGUCACUAUACUUUUGACCAGAAUCCAAAACCAAAACCCCAUUCCCUCUGUAUAGUGCACUACUUUGACCAGACAUCCAAAACCCCAUUCCCUGUAUAGUGCACUACUUUUGACCAGAAUCCAAAACCCUAUUCCCUUUUUAUAGUGCACUACUUUUGACCAGAAUCCAAAACCCUAUUCCCUGUAUGUGCACUAGACUUUUGACCGAAAUCCAAAACCCUCAUCCCCUGUAUAGUGCCUACUUUUAGUUGACCAGAUCCAAAACCCUAUUCCCUGUAUAGUUCACUAACUUCCUCAGGCAACACUACGCAAUCUGAAUCCCCCCCUCGGCAGGCAACACAAUGCCACUCUGAAUCCCCCCCUCCCGCGGGCAACAACUAGGCAUUCUUUCUGAAAUCUCCCCUCCUCGGGCAACACGAUGAUGCACUCUGAAUCUCCCCCUCCUCGGCGCAACACUAUGCACUCUGAAUCUCCCCCUCCUCGGGCAACACUAUGGCACUCUGAAUCUCCCCCCCCUCCUCGGGCAACACUAUGCACUCCUGAUCUCCCCCUCCUCGGCAACACUAUGCACUCUGAAUCUCCCACCUCCUCGGGCAACACUACGCACUCUGAAUCUCCCCCUCCUCGGGCAAACACUAUGCACUCUGAAUCUCCCCCCUCCUCGGGCAACACUACGCACUCUGAGUUCCAUAAUUCCUUGCCUUAUUUUGGAACACAUGUCAGUGGCCCAGCCCUGAAAGUGUACUGUUUAAACUGUAGCACCCCGUGUGUCAGUCUGAAAUACUCCAAUAGUUACAGUUGUACUGGUUGUUCCCUGCAUGUUACAGACAGUUAUCUAAUCACACACAGAACUACUAGUACAAGCACAAACCUCCGUCUAGUCACACAACCAGAAACUACUAGUACAAAGCACAAACCUCCAACGUCUAGCCACACACCAGAAACCACUAGUACAGCACAAACCUCCGUCUAG